GAUUCGUCACACUAUCAUUAACUGAAUCCAUAGGUUAAUGAGGCGAACCGGGGGAACUGAAACAUCUAAGUACCCCGAGGAAAAGAAAUCAACCGAGAUUCCCCCAGUAGCGGCGAGCGAACGGGGAGGAGCCCAGAGCCUGAAUCAGCAUGUGUGUUAGUGGAAGCGUCUGGAAAGGCGCGCGAUACAGGGUGACAGCCCCGUACACAAAAGCGCAUGUGCUGUGAGCUCGAUGAGUAGGGCGGGACACGUGGUAUCCUGUCUGAAUAUGGGGGGACCAUCCUCCAAGGCUAAAUACUCCUGACUGACCGAUAGUGAACCAGUACCGUGAGGGAAAGGCGAAAAGAACCCCGGCGAGGGGAGUGAAAAAGAACCUGAAACCGUGUACGUACAAGCAGUGGGAGCACCCUUCGGGGUGUGACUGCGUACCUUUUGUAUAAUGGGUCAGCGACUUAUAUUCUGUAGCAAGGUUAACCGUAUAGGGGAGCCGGAGGGAAACCGAGUCUUAAUUGGGCGUUAAGUUGCAGGGUAUAGACCCGAAACCCGGUGAUCUAGCCAUGGGCAGGUUGAAGGUUGGGUAACACUAACUGGAGGACCGAACCGACUAAUGUUGAAAAAUUAGCGGAUGACCUGUGGCUGGGGGUGAAAGGCCAAUCAAACCGGGAGAUAGCUGGUUCUCCCCGAAAGCUAUUUAGGUAGCGCCUCGUGAAUUCAUCUCCGGGGGUAGAGCACUGUUUCGGCUAGGGGGCCAUCCCGGCUUACCAACCCGAUGCAAACUGCGAAUACCGGAGAAUGUUAUCACGGGAGACACACGGCGGGUGCUAACGUCCGUCGUGAAGAGGGAAACAACCCAGACCGCCAGCUAAGGUCCCAAAGUCAUGGUUAAGUGGGAAACGAUGUGGGAAGGCCCAGACAGCCAGGAUGUUGGCUUAGAAGCAGCCAUCAUUUAAAGAAAGCGUAAUAGCUCACUGGUCGAGUCGGCCUGCGCGGAAGAUGUAACGGGGCUAAACCAUGCACCGAAGCUGCGGCAGCGAACGUAUCACCCAAGACAACUUUACGGAGUUGACGAUUGACGGAGCGAAGCGACGUCAAAGCGUUCAUUAAAGUCGAGUUGGCUUAGGGAUACGUUCGUUGGGUAGGGGAGCGUUCUGUAAGCCUGUGAAGGUGUGUCGUGAGGCAUGCUGGAGGUAUCAGAAGUGCGAAUGCUGACAUAAGUAACGAUAAAGCGGGUGAAAAGCCCGCUCGCCGGAAGACCAAGGGUUCCUGUCCAACGUUAAUCGGGGCAGGGUGAGUCGACCCCUAAGGCGAGGCCGAAAGGCGUAGUCGAUGGGAAACGGGUUAAUAUUCCCGUACUUGGUGUUACUGCGAAGGGGGGACGGAGAAGGCUAUGUUGGCCGGGCGACGGUUGUCCCGGUUUAAGCGUGUAGGUGUGUGUUCCAGGUAAAUCCGGUUCACUUUAACACUGAGGCGUGACGACGAGGCACUACGGUGCUGAAGCAACAAAUGCCCUGCUUCCAGGAAAAGCCUCUAAGCAUCAGGUAACACGAAAUCGUACCCCAAACCGACACAGGUGGUCAGGUAGAGAAUACCAAGGCGCUUGAGAGAACUCGGGUGAAGGAACUAGGCAAAAUGGUGCCGUAACUUCGGGAGAAGGCACGCUGACACGUAGGUGAAGUGAUUUACUCAUGGAGCUGAAGUCAGUCGAAGAUACCAGCUGGCUGCAACUGUUUAUU
rnacentral:rRNA from 1 species